AAUCUAGGUCACCGGGUAGGCGGGGCUUGUCUAGGCGCCCCCCGAGUCGGGCCCGGCGCGGCUCUGCCUCGGGGUGAUGAAUCCGCUGCUGACCAGCCCAGCAAAUCCAGCCUUGUUCUAGCAUACAAAAGUCAGGGCCAGCUAGCUCCUUAAAAAGAGCGUUUGUUUCGCAAGAUCCUUUACAAACAUCAACAGUAACUUGAAGCAGUCUGUGUGCGAGCGAGAAAAAGCUGUAAAAAACUGUCCUGAUAGAAUAAAGCCUGGAAUAAAAAGGGUUAAACGUCGCAUCAGCCAGGAAGCCAUCUUGGGGCUGCGGUGGAAUACAAACAACUCUCUUUUCAUCGUGCUUCCUAGCACAGUAGCGUAACUGAAUCUGAAAUAAGAUGCUAAGCCAGUAGCCCAAUAUUUUGUUAACCCUUCUUGCUAUCUUAUCGUCUGAUGAUCUAACAAAUUAAGAACUGCACCUCUGUUGAGCAUCUCAUGUUCAGGACAGCGACAGGAGUGAGUAAAGGCUUGCAGGAACUGAAAAGCAGUGUGCUCUUGCCCACCAGCCUGUUAAAACACUAAAUUAAAAAUAGAUGAUAGAUCUAAAUAAUUAAGGUUAAUUCAGAACCAAGCAAAUAGUGACAAAGUAAAGACAUAGGCCAACUUCAGCCCUGGUUUAGCUCCAUUGAUUUUAGAGAUUAAUUUGGCCUAGAGUUGUUUUUUAGUUUGGGUCCAGAGGAAGGCUGCAGUCAAGAUAACAAAUGUCCUCCUGGGUUCAAGAAGAAAUCUGGAAGGUUUCUACAAGUGGAAGAAAUCAGAAAGUUACAAAAAGAAUUACGUUUAGUUGUUUCCUCUAAUUUGGACUGAAUUGUGGGAGAGGGGAACAGGUUCUUGCUGAGGGGCUGUGAAGCUAAAAUAUGAGACUGCCAUGAUGGGAUGGGGCCUUUAACUCUUGGAUAUACCUUGAAAGAUAGGAGUAAAAACUAAGACUCCAUGCACAUGUUAGGCAGAACUCACCGCUUUUUGAUGGUGCUGGAAACAGAAGCAGAAAUGUGUUUGAAUUUCCUUCAAUAAUGAGUGGUGUUUUUUUUUUCUUCAUUACUCCAUUUUUUCCUGUCUCUUCACAUUACUCUCUUUUCUUUGUUUCUCCAUACCUUUAUUUCCUUUUUUCUGCAUUCCUGUUUUCCUCUAUUCAUACUUUCUCCCUUUUCCCUAACCUCUGUGUACUAGACUUCUCUAUUGUUACCAUUGGUGUACCUCCACUGGUGAGAGCGAUAAUGAAGUUCUUGUUUUAAAAGUCUCACUGAAAUGGCAGAAAUUAAAACACAACAUAACCUUUG